UGGGGGCUCCCCUCCCCCAACCUGUUGCAUGAGUGUUAUCGGACCUCCUGUUAGCCUGCAUGCUCCCAGGCGGCUCUUAGGACUUAUCCCACCAUCUGUGACUCUGUCAAAACAGCUAACGCAUGGUAGGCUCCAAGUUGGUGGAAUGGAAUUCAGUGCUUGCUUCAACUUGAGUGCGGCUGGCUUUUUAGGAGGCUCCUGGGAAGAAAGUUGGUCAUGGCAUAAGUUAGGGCCUUGGACCCUGGGUAAGGAAGCCAUAGGACGCUGUGGACACACAGUCCUCAGGAUCAGGAGCUAGAGAUCAUUAGCCACAGGCCUAGGAGGAAGAGGAGGGUGUCUGAGACUAGAAUUGGCUAUUCUCAGAGGUGGACAAGAAGAUUUUCGUGUUUCUUGGACCUCAUUUGACCAGUUGUCCUAACCGUCAGGCCCUGGUUCAUUAUUGCGAUCUGGGGCUCUUACCCGUUGGAGGGUCAUGGGUACCCCUUUUUAAAAGUUGUAGGCCUGCUCCUUGGAACUCUGCGCACACAGCAUUCAGCUUCCAGUGUCAGGGAGUUUCGCAGGCUGAGAGCUCCUGUGUCUGCCUGUCAUCACAGCCUCAGUGGGAGCCUCUGGGAUGGAGCCCCAGCCCUGCUUUCCCCAUAUGCUCACAAGGUGGGGCCAGGUACCUUGUGGGAAUGGAUCAGAGGGCAUCCCAAAAUGCUGGGGCCGGGGUCCAGAGCAAUCCCAAGGCUACCCCCAGUGCCCUCCACCAGCCCCAGCCAGGAUGCAUUUUGCCCCCUCUCUUCAUUGACUCAUUUGUUUCUGGUUAUGAAAGUAACACGUGAUGGUUGUUGAAAAUGUGGAAACUGCAGAGAAGUGAAAAUGAUUGGGUUUUUUUGUUUUGUUCUAUUGUUUUGUUUUGUUUUAACAGCAUUGCUUGCUGUGGUUAAAGAUCCCAAAUCAAGGCUGCUGCCAGGUCUGGACCCAAGACUUGCUUCCCACUAUCUUGGAUAAAGGAAGGAGCACUGGACCAGGAGUCAGAGAUCUGGAUUUCUGUCUAGUCUCUGCUAUGUUCAGCUUUUCUUCAUUUACCUAGUAUUUAUAGUGUGCCUUUUGUGUGCAUAGAUGUUUUUCUGCCCAUAACCUUCCCAUCUGCCUUGCCCCUGGGAUCUUAGAACGGAGCAAAUACAGUGUUCACUCAGGGCUAUGGACCGCACUUGCUGUGUGACUGUUGUGACUCACAUAACCUCUUAGAGCCAUGGUUGCCUCUUCUAUAAAACAGGGACAUUAGUGCCUGCCUGCUAAUGGUGAGUGACGAUGACAUCAUGUACAUAAAGCUGCGAUGCAUGAUACAAGCAUAAGGCAUUUGUAUGGCUGUUGUGGCCAGUAUUAUCCAUCAGCAAAGUAUGCCUCACUCACAUCCUCAGUCAAACCCUGAUGCAUUGGUCCAUUCAGUUUCCUCUUCUGUAAAGUGGGAGUAAAAAUAGGACUUAGCUCAUAGGUUACUGUCAGAAUUUCUUGAGUUAAUACAUGUAAAGUACUUAGGAUAGUGCCUGGUGCAUAUUAAGAAUUCAAUAAAUGUUAGCUAGUUGAACUAGCUGUAGCAUUUGUUCCUGCCAAGAAAAGAGUGUUUUCUAAUGGCACAGGAAAACAAGAUGGGGGUAGGCAUGGCCAGGGAGAGGGAGUUGCUUGCUGUCUAAUUCAGCUGGCAGUCAAAAGAAAAAAUUAUUAGAAGCCUAUGAAUCUGUUCUUCUGAAGGCCGGCUGAGUAUAGGGGGAUAUUUAGAGUAAAAAACCCCAGACCCACAUAUAGUAAAGUAGGAGAGACAGGAAGCCAGACCCUCUUAAGGUAGGAGAGACAAGAAGCCAUUCACACAAUACGUGCAAAAUUGGGUGGUUUUCACGUAGAGAACUAAAGAAAGAGAAGAGAGAUCCAUAAAAACUGGAGUAUUCAAGCAGGAGAGCGUGGGAGAAGCAUUUAGAUUUGAUAAAUAACCCAUCUAAUUCUCAGAGCAAGGACUUUGGAGGGUGACACCCUGAGGUUUAAGUCUCUGGUGUGCCAUUGCUGGUUGUGUGAUCUUGGGCAAGUUAUAUCACCCCUCUAAGCCACAAUUUUCUCAUCUGGAAAAAAAGGCGGGGGCUGGGGGGGGGGCGGCAAUAACAGUACCUACCUCAUAGGGUUGAUGAGAAGAUAAGAUGAAGUACCUACAAAAAGCCCUUGUCUGCAUGCCUGGAGCAUGGUGAGGGCACUAUGUGAGCCAGUGUUUUUCUGUAUGAAGAGUCACAGCAGCACCGAAGCCCAGAAUCUUGGCAGUAAAGAAUUAUAAUUCUAUCUUGAAAUUUUCCGGAGAGGGAGUUCACUUACUGCCUGAUGAGAUUUUUGAAUGAGGCCAAAAAAGGCAACAGGCAUAUCCUGGGAUUUUUACAAGAUGCCAGGUAUGUCCUCUUCACAAGCACUUUCUGAUGUAAGUACCAUUGCCCCCAUCUUACAGUUGACCAAGUUUACACUGCUGGAGCUGACCUCCCUGUGUCUCCUACCCUUUGCUUCCAGGUCUUCAGAAAUACAGUAACUCUUUACUUGUGAUCCCUGAAUGAAACUGGGAUGCAACAAAGCAUGUCUAUUUACCCAAAGUUCAAAGAUCCUACAAAAAAGAGUGGCUGGUUAGAGAAAGGAAGAGAUGGAAGACAGCAAACACUUGAAAGCAAAGAGAAGCCAUUCUUCCCCCUUGCACUGAGGAGCCACGGAUAGCCGUGAAGACAGGGAGAGGGAUUUUAUUCCCAGUUCCAGCUUCCCUCAUACAGCACUCCCUCAAGUCUGGUCUGGAUGGCACAGGGCAUCCUUGAAAGCUACAGGAAGUGGGCUGGGGUUGGGAGGAGUUUAGAAAGAGCAAAUUCGUCAUCUCUGCAGCCUCAGCCCUAGAGAUUCUGCCAAGAAAGAUAUGGCCAGUCCAACUUGGUCUUUUUUUUUUUUUUUUUAAUGGGGAGUGUGCCCUUGAGUGAGCAUUGUACUCCUCCUAAGACCCUGGAGGCAAGGAGGAUGGGAGAGCUGUGGGGGAGAAAACCACAUAUGCAUGAAAUGUCAACAGCCUCUGGGUAGAGCUGUCCUGGGCUGCUGGUUGUCUUCCUGUCUCUCUCUCCCUCCCUCCCCCAUUCCUUCCCUCCCUCCCAGACAUCAGUCUUACCACCUUCAUGGAUUUUGCAAAAUCUGAGUACCACCUUCUCUAUUAUUCUUAAAAUUCACCUUACAGAGACUCAUUAAAACAAAACAGAAAAACCCUUAUUCCGUCUUAGACAGUAGUAUCUGGGGUUUGGUAAUAUAAUUCUAUUUUUGUAGUAAAAAUUAAAAUACAUGACAAUGAAAAAAACAAACAAAAAACAUCUUAAAAGUUCUCUCAUCACAAGAAAAAAAAUUGUAUAGCUGUAUGGUGAAGGAUGGUAACUAAUGUGAUCAUUUUUCAGUGUAUACAAAUACUGAAUCAUUCUGUUGGAC